AACGAACGCUGGCGGCAUGCCUAACACAUGCAAGUCGAACGAGACCUUCGGGUCUAGUGGCGCACGGGUGCGUAACGCGUGGGAACCUGCCCUUAGGUUCGGAAUAACUCCCCGAAAGGGGUGCUAAUACCGGAUAAUGUCUUCGGACCAAAGAUUUAUCGCCUUUGGAUGGGCCCGCGUUGGAUUAGCUAGUUGGUAGGGUAAAAGCCUGCCAAGGCGACGAUCCAUAGCUGGUCUGAGAGGAUGAUCAGCCACACUGGGACUGAGACACGGCCCAGACUCCUACGGGAGGCAGCAGUGGGGAAUAUUGGACAAUGGGCGAAAGCCUGAUCCAGCACUGCCGCGUGAGUGAUGUAGGCCUUAGGGUUGUAAAGCUCUUUUACCCGGGAUGAUAAUGACAGUACCGGGAGAAUAAGCUCCGGCUAACUCCGUG
rnacentral:rRNA from 1 species